rnacentral:rRNA from 1 species
GGUGACCUCGAUCAGUAGGGAUACCCGCU